ACGAAAUAACUUGCUCCUUGAAAAGAUUGCACUUGCAUUAGUCUAACAACAUCACUCCAACGAGUUAGUUGUUUUUGUCUCCGAGUCCGGAAAAGGUAAUGCAUGAAAUUUCCCCUUCAUACAACCAGACCACGCGUGAGAAAGAGAUACAAAAGAACCACAAUCCAAACCCUUUACUAGGUCCUUCGCUUGCAUGUGUGCAAUUGUUACAAUGUUCCACGGCCCCUUCCUCGUCCUCGUCCUUAACCACAUCCUUCUUGUGUCGUAAGAGCCAAAUCUUGUCACUAGAUGAUCCUCGCAUGCUUUGUAGAGCGUCCAACUCCAUAGUGACCAUCUUCUUAGCAUCAGCGAAUGUUUUACACUGUGUACAAACACUCAUCAUGAGCAGUGUAUACUUGGCUUGCAAAAAUGAUUUGGAAAACUCCAAAAUUUGGCGACGAUCCGACAAUUUCUCUCUAGCAACGUCAAAUUAUGCAAAUAAGGAAUAAAACUUGAGAACAUGUUUUACAACGUCCUCUCCUUCCUUGUACUGUGCCCUCCCCAUCUCGCGCUACAAAAGCGCUAGUUGCUCAAAUGUCCCUUGAUCGUACUCCUCCAAAAAUUUCCACAACUCAUUCGAUCAAGAACACUCGAGCAACUUCACUAAUAGAUCAUUGGUGAUGGCAUUCUAAAUGAAAGCUAAUGCUUUGGCAUCCUUUGCACCAUUAUAUAAAGAAGACGAUGCGGAAGAUUUUGGACUAAGCUCCAUUUGCUCCCACAAAUCUUCAUCCAUAAGCAACCGCUUCUCCUCUUCCACGCAAAAAAAUCCCUCCCAUCAAAAGGCUUGAGACUUGAUUCAACCUUAACAAUGGGCACCAUUAUGAAAAAAAGAAAAAAGAAAAAUCACUCCCUCUUCGAUACCAUGAAAAAAAAUAAGGAGGCAAAGAUGAGGAAUGAGAGAAUGCAUUUUUGUAUUACAUAAUCUGGACUUAUAUACAAGAUUAUAAUGAUUUUCAGCCUCACGUCCGCGGGUGGUCAAGAUGAAUUCUCUCAAUUUAUGAUCACGUCUCCCGAUAUAUGAUCACUCCCGAUAUAUGAUCAAGUUGAAUUCUCCAACACUAUGGCACUAAAGUGCAUGUUAACCUAGAUCCCAGAUCCCACAAAGGGUGUUGAUUGAUUAAGACAGUAGGAUGGUGGUCAUGGAAGUCAAAAUCUGCUAAGGAGCGUGUAACAACUUACCUGCCAAAUCAAUUAGCCCCGAAAAUGGAUGGCGCUCAUGUGUGCUAUCUAUGCUCGGCCAACGUGGUGAAUGCAAGGCCUCAAUGAGUAGAAGGGUGUGACUGUCGUUGAGAAGCCUUGGGUGCAAACCCAGGCGGGUAGAUGUUGGUGGUAGUAGCAAGUAUUCAAAUGAGAACUUUGAAGACUAAAGUGGAAAAAGGUUCCAUGUGAAUAGCAAUUGGACAUAGGUUAGUCGAUCCUAAGAGAUGGGGAAGCUAGCGGAGGCCUUGGGAAGAGUUCUCUUUUCUUUUUAAUAGCAUGCUGAAUCAGUUAACCCAAAGAUAGGGUUCAAUGGUCGGCAUAGCACCGCAUGUCCUACGGUGUCCGGUGCUCUCCCAGCGGCCCUUGAAAAUCUGCAGGAGUGAAUUCUAAGCUUUCCCAAUCGUAGUAAUAACCUCAUCCUGUUUCCAAGGUGAGUAGCCUUUAGUAGAUGAAACAAUGUAGAUAAGGGAAGUUGGCAAAACCGAUCCGUAACUUUGGGAAAAGUAUUGGCUCUAAGGGAUGGGACUAGGGGGCUGCUGCUUGAUCCCGUAGGCUAUCAAGGGUUUGCCGAAGCUGCUCACAUGGUGGUGGCAGACCUGCGUGUGCCAACUGGGCGAUGGCUGCAGAACGUCUCCCCCUCAGGUUACAUUCCCUAAGCAUUGAACAACCAACUCAGAACUAGAACGAACAAGGGGAAUCCAAUUGUUUAAUUAAAACAAAGCAUUGCGAUGGUCCUUGCGAAUGCCGACACAAUGUGCUUUCUUCCUAGUGCUCUAAAUGUCAAAGUGAAGAAAUUCAACCAAGCGCAAGUAAAUGGAAGGAGUAAUUAUGACUCUCUUAAGGUAGUGAAAUGCCUCAUUAUCUAAUUAGUGAUGUGCAUGAAUGGAUUAAUGAGAUUCCCGUAGUUCCUAUCUAUUCUCUAGCAAAACCAUAGCUAGGGGAAUGGGCUUGGCAAAAUUAGCAAAGAAAGAAGACCCUGUUGAGCUCAACUCUAGUCUAAUCUUGUGAAGUGACUUGAGAGGUGUAGAAUAAGUGGGAGCUUCGGCACAAGUGAAAUACCACUACUUUUAACAUUACUUUACUUAUUUCGUGGGUUGGAGGUGGGGCUUUGCCCUUGCUUCUGGUCCCACACUCGCAUAGUUCGAUCCAAGCGAAAGACCUGUGGGUCAGGUGGGGAGUUUGGCUAGGGCAGCACAUCUAUUAAAAGAUAAUGCAGAUGUCCUAAGAUGAGCUCAACGAGAACAUAAAUCUCGUGUGGAACAAAAGGGUAAAAGCUCAUU
rnacentral:rRNA from 1 species